ACGUCCUUUGAGCUCCACGUGAUUACCUCCAUUUGGCAGUCGAGUAAACUGAGUCACAAAAGUUGAAAGAUCUGCUCAAAGCUUUGCCAGGAGCGAAGACAGGGCAGGGCCAGAGCUCAGACAUCCUGGCUCCUGGUCUGGCGAGCGGUUCCACGGAACGUGCUGGGAUCGGCCGCGUCCGGGCUCCUGACCUCUCAGGGUCCUGCCGUGCCACAGCCUUCUGGUAACCCAUCAUCUAGAACUGGCCAAGGUCCCCUGGCCCCUGAGAUACCACUGUCCAGCAGCAAAGGCUUUGCUUUGAAAAGGCCCUCAGCACAUGUGUCCAAUAGCCACCUAUGUCCUUCUGUUCCCAGAGGCCUGUCCCACUGAUUCACAGUGUCUGCUUAUACGGGUCACAGAGGGAUCAGGAGAGAGAAGCAAGACAUUGGUUUCCUGCUUUUCCUGAAAAGCUGAAAGCAGCCAGGAUCCGUGGGGUAGUAUACAUUUCCUGGAUUUCAUCUGCCCUGCAUUUAAACCCACUUAUGAUUAAGCUCUUCCAUCUCCCAGGAUUAACAGAAAAGGCCGGCAACAUGCUCUCCUAGAUUGCCGGCACUAGGCUGUGGGCAUGGGACCCAAGCUCGGCCAGUUUACAGCGCUGCAGGGGACGAAAGUGACUGAUACGAACGAAGAGGGGGCUUUACCGGGUAGCAGGUGGAGAUGCCUGCGUCCCAGGUCUGUCAGCGGUGGUGCCGCGGGGCCAGUGGGAUGGAGGAGGCGGCUCUGCCAUCAGAUUGCUGCUGUCUUUGACCUUGGCUGUGGUUAGAACUGUUGUCCCGAGUGCACUCGGCCUCCCGCUCAUUUCUGGAAACCUCGGGAUUGUUUGUGAGUUAGCAGUUUUCCUUCCAGCAAAUUCCUUCCUGAAGCAUACCAGAGUCAAGGGUUUUGUUUGUAUUUGGUUGGGACCAAGUUGCAGAAUGAGAGCGGUUUCUCUUUUCUUUCCUCCCAGUAUUGAGAGAUGGGUUCUAAGACUCUGAGGAGACCAGGGUACAGCGGAGAUGGUAAAAGCAUGGCACAAUGCGGGACGUCUGAAAAGGUUAGGAGCUAGUGUUUGAGACGAGCUAGCUCAUUCGUCUCCAGCAGUGCUGAACCCACAUCCGCAACGUUGCUGGGUGGUGCCUUGUGGCCGAUCUCCCUGCCGUCAGCAUGACCGGCGUCCUCGCCGGCAUGAUAGCCCCUGGCACUCUAGCCAGUGGUGGUGACUUAGACCAGCAUCGAUGUGUGCCCAACCUCCUGUCUCCCCCGGGCUCCUGUCAGCAGGUUGCUCCCCAUCCAGGAUCCUUCCUGAUGCGGCUUGCGUGUGGUGAAGGAGGGCUGCCCACAGCGGUAUGCGGGGAGUGCAGAGCAUGUGCCCCGGAGCUCUCCGUGCUUUUGCCCUUCCUGGUACUUGGGGAUGUGAGGAAGCUGUCCCGGGCAUCUGGAAAUCUGAAGAAAUGGUGUUUUCACCGAUACCAGGGUCAGCGAGCAAAAUGCCUCUCACAGACUCAUAGAAGAAGGUGAGACAGCUGACUCACCCGGGACUCUACUACUGAGUUAUUGCACAUCCAGGAGGUGCCUGCCUGUGACCAGGUGGCUUCUAGAGCUAACUCUCUCUCACACUUCCAUGGAAAGAUUAUAAAAAUAUAUAUUUCCAGGGGCCACACCCAGAGAUUUCAAUUCAGCAGAUCUUGGGAUGGUGAGAGGCGGGGCUUGGAGACUGAGCGGCCACCAUGCAGGGAUCCCAAAUGAUAAGGAAUGUGUCCAUGGGCAGGUUUAGGGCAGCUGCUGGCUGACACAAGAGCGGAUGUGGCCACUCCCCUCUUCCCAGGCUCAGCGAGAUGCCUCCUGAUCGCUGUCCCCUUUCCUGACUUGGCCUCAGAGUCCUUCCCAGUGCAGGUAGUGACCAGCGGUCACACGGAGGUGGCUUCAAGGCAAAGGCAAUUUGUCCUCUUCAGCCUGCAGAAUGCGGGAGGGGGACUGAAGAAGCUGGGUCUUGUCACAGGUCACUACCAACAAAGAAGGAAAGUAAUUGGCUGUUUCUGAGCCUCAGGUUUCUUUCUGCUCUGUCGCGGGGAGAUGGUACAGAACCUUUCAUUUUUAGCCUGGAGAGCGUGGAUUCUUAUCUCUAAGUUGCUCUAUGAAUUUCAGGUUAUUCCAGCUACUUUAACAUUUUAUGACAUUUUAUAACAUAUUACAACUGUUGUCGAAAUUGUGCAAGUUCGUUUGUUUGUUUUCAGUCAUCCAAAUGACCAGCUUCUCCCCCGUGGAUUGGAUUAGUUUGCACAUGCUGGAUCUGUUCAUUAGGACGGCUCUACACACCACAUCAACUGUUCAAUCAGCAGCAGGACACGGGGAAGGGUUCUGUCCCACCCACUCCUUAAGGUUCCAGGCCGAUGGAGGAACCAUCCAUCCUCGAUGCUAGGCUUCCGAGAUCAGGCCCCCUAUGUGUUCACAUCUAGGAGACUGAUAGUAGUGAAAGACAGUGGAGAAUGGCCCAGGAACAUCUAAAGAGCAUUGGUUGGACGUUGCAGUCCAUUGGUCGGAAUUGGCCACAUGGCUUUACUCCGCCGCAAGGAAGGCUGGGAAAUGGAGGCGAGUGAGCCCAAGAAGAGAGGGAGACGGGUCUGGUGAACAGCCAGCUAGAGUCCCCUUGGGGAACAUGAGGAGCUAUGGGUGUGCCUAGAGGAGUGGCCGAGUACCACACAAUCCAGAGUGGGUGCCUGUGUCACUGGUAUCUAAUUCCGUCCCCCGGUUGGACAAUGAAAAUACAUUCAGUGGAACAAUUUUCAAAUGGUAAAUGGUAAAAAAGCCCCAAACCAAGGAGAAAAAAACAACAACAACAAAAAAAAAAACAGUGCUUUAGAAUUCUUCCCAUUAUUUUAACAGUCUUUCAGGGCUUUUUUGGAGUUCUUUAUAUAUGUAUAAUUUUAGAAACACUUGUCUGGCUCACCUCAUGGUUUCGCUCAUUAGCUGUUUGUCUCCCAAAAUGUUUCCUUGGACUCCCAGGGAAACCUAUCCAAAUCCGUCCUGGCCUUCUCCAUAUUCUAAAGUAUUCCUCCAAGACUGGAGGAAUGCAUUAACGUUUCUGGCUCGGAACAAAAAUGUUGGCCCAGGUCCUCUUUCUUGAAAGUCCUUGUGCCUGGGCCCAUAAGUGGUAGGCUCUGGGUCCAUUGCAAGUGUGACAUCUCAAGCCUCAUUCCAUUCACCCACGGGGACUUGGAUACCCACCUCACAGGACAGUGGGGAGCUGUAGGGGAGCCGCUGUCUGGCGAACAAUAAGCAUGACCUCUACUGCUGUUAACUCCAGGGUCAACAAGCCAUCCACUGGCGUUCCGCUGGGUCGGGCUGUGCGGGUGAAAUUUAUACCUGUGGGGAAGCAGCUAAACAUUUAUGCUUGGAACAAAGAUGUGGUCAUGGGGUGCUUCCCAUGGGCCCAGCUCAGAGGUGUCUCCCAGAGUUCUUCCUUGAAAUAAACCCUGUGUGCUCUCCAACCAACCCUCACUGUGCCGUGACUCAGUUUCCCCGACAAAAGGGGGGAUACGAUGACAGUUCUAAACUUGUUUGCAAAACACUUUGAGAGCCUUGAAAUAAAGGUGGUAUUUAGUGUGAGUUCAAA